UACGGGAGGCAGCAGUGGGGAAUAUUGCACAAUGGGCGCAAGCCUGAUGCAGCCAUGCCGCGUGUAUGAAGAAGGCCUUCGGGUUGUAAAGUACUUUCAGUCGUGAGGAAGGUGUUAAGGUUAAUAACCUUAGCAAUUGACGUUAGCGACAGAAGAAGCACCGGCUAACUCCGUGCCAGCAGCCACGGUAAUACGGAGGGUGCGAGCGUUAAUCGGAAUUACUGGGCGUAAAGGGCACGCAGGCGGUUAAUUAAGUUGGAUGUGAAAUCCCCGGGCUUAACCUGGGAAUGGCAUUCAAGACUGGUUAGCUAGAGCCUUGUAGAGGGGGUAGAAUUCCAUGUGUAGCGGUGAAAUGCGUAGAGAUGUGGAGGAAUACCGGUGGCGAAGGCGGCCCCUGGACAAAGACUGACGCUCAUGUGCGAAAGCGUGGGGAGCGAAACAGGGAUUAGAUACC
rnacentral:rRNA from 1 species